AMGACGGGUAGCCGGCCUGAGAGGGCGACCGGCCACACUGGGACUGARACACGGCCCAGACUCYUACGGGAGGCAGCAGUGGGGAAUAUUGCACAAUGGGCGAAAGCCUGAUGCAGCGACGCCGCGUGAGGGAUGACGGCCUUCGGGUUGUAAACCUCUUUCAGCAGGGAAGAAGCGAAAGUGACGGUACCUGCAGAAGAAGCGCCGGCUAACUACGUGCCAGCAGCCGCGGUAAUACGUAGGGCGCAAGCGUUGUCCGGAAUUAUUGGGCGUAAAGAGCUCGUAGGCGGCUUGUCACGUCGGUUGUGAAAGCCCGGGGCUUAACCCCGGGUCUGCAGUCGAUACGGGCAGGCUAGAGUUCGGUAGGGGAGAUCGGAAUUCCUGGUGUAGCGGUGAAAUGCGCAGAUAUCAGGAGGAACACCGGUGGCGAAGGCGGAUCUCUGGGCCGAUACUGACGCUGAGGAGCGAAAGCGUGGGGAGCGAACAGGAUUAGAUACCCUGGUAGUCCACGCCGUAAACGGUGGGCACUAGGUGUGGGCAACAUUCCACGUUGUCCGUGCCGCAGCUAAC
rnacentral:rRNA from 1 species